GACGAACGCUGGCGGCGUGCUUAACACAUGCAAGUCGAACGGAAAGGCCCCUUUGGGGGUACUCGAGUGGCGAACGGGUGAGUAACACGUGAGUAACCUGCCCUUGACUUCGGGUUAACUUCAGGAAACUGGGGCUAAUACCGGAUAGGAAUCCUUGCUGCAUGGUGGGGGUUGGAAAGCUUCGGCGGUUUUGGAUGGACUCGCGGCUUAUCAGCUUGUUGGUGGGGUAGUGGCUUACCAAGGCUUUGACGGGUAGCCGGCCUGAGAGGGCGACCGGCCACCUUGGGACUGAGAUAAGGCCCAGACUCCCACGGGAGGCAGCAGUGGGGAAUAUUGCACAAUGGGCGGGAGCCUGAUGCAGCAACGCCGCGGGCGGGAUGACGGCCUUCGGGUUGUAAACCGCUUUCAGCAGGGGCGAAGCUUGUGGUGACGGUACCUGCAGAAGAAGCACCGGCUAACUACGUG
rnacentral:rRNA from 1 species